rnacentral:lncRNA from 1 species
GAUUAGAAUAUUCUUGAAUAUGACUUUGGACUGACCGUUUUAGAGAAAAUCUGUGACCUUGAGAAUUAAAAUUAUCAAAUUGUGUUGUAUUAAGUGAAGAUAUUGAAUUUUGUAUGAUGAAUUGAGAAAUUGAAUAUAAUAAGUAAGAUAGAGAUUAUUAAUUGAAUAUAUAUAAACUGCAAAGAGAGUAAGUGGAAGAUGAACUAAUAAGAAGAUAGAAGUGUUAUUGAAUUGAUAGU